rnacentral:rRNA from 1 species
CUACGGGACGCAGCAGUGGGGAAUAUUGGACAAUGGGGGAAACCCUGAUCCAGCAAUGCCGCGUGUGUGAAGAAGGCCUGCGGGUUGUAAAGCACUUUCGGUUGGGAGGACUGCUUCUAGCACUAAUAUUGUUGGAAGUUGACGUUACCUUCAGAAGAAGCACCGGCUAACUCCGUGCCAGCAGCCGCGGUAAUACGGAGGGUGCAAGCGUUAAUCGGAAUUACUGGGCGUAAAGCGCGCGUAGGCGGCUAGAUCAGUCGGAUGUGAAAGCCCCGGGCUUAACCUGGGAACUGCAUCCGAUACUGUCUAGCUUGAGUACAGGAGAGGAGAGUGGAAUUCCACAUGUAGCGGUGAAAUGCGUAGAUAUGUGGAGGAACACCAAUGGCGAAGGCAGCUCUCUGGCCUGAUACUGACGCUGAGGUGCGAAAGCGUGGGGAGCAAACUGGAUUAGAUACCCUAGUAGUC